rnacentral:misc_RNA from 1 species
UUGAUGGGAUAUGGUUCAGUUCCUGCCUCUUUUUGGGUUGUGGAGAUUGGGAACAAAGGAGAUUAUGGCUUGCAAUAGUAAAGCUGGAUUUCUGUGAACUAACUGCUAGUGGAUCUGGAAGUCACCAGCAAUGAGCGGUAGAAACUAUAUCAUUAUCAUUUUCUACUCCAACAAAUGCCAAGCUAAUAGGUCCUGCUAGCUGGACUCACUGUGGAUUUUGUGGUACAGUAGGGAAGCAUGCUUCUUUUCUGUCCAAUGGCGUCUUGGAAACCUAUUAUAAUUCUUUAGUUGAGAUUUUUUUUUCUCCAUUUUGUUUGGUAUUUUGUUUUGGUGGGA